GAUGAACGCUAGCGGCAGGCUUAAUACAUGCAAGUCGUGGGGCAGCGGGGUAGCAAUACCGCCGGCGACCGGCAAACGGGUGCGGAACACGUACACAACCUUCCUUUAAGCGGGGCAUAGCCCAGGGAAACUUGGACUAAUACCCCAUAGUAUAUUGGAGAAGCAUUUUUCUGAUAUUAAAGAUUUAUCACUUGAAGAUGGGUGUGCGGCUGAUUAGGUAGUUGGCGGGGUAACGGCCCACCAAGCCUACGAUCAGUAGCUGAUGUGAGAGCAUGAUCAGCCACACGUGAACUGAGACACGGGCCCGACUCCUACGGGAGGCAGCAGUAAGGAAUAUUGGGCAAUGGAGGCAACUCUGACCCAGCCAUGCCGCGUGGAGGAUGAAGGUCCUCUGGAUUGUAAACUUCUUUUAUUUGGGAAGAAAUGCCGACUUUCUAGUUGGUUUGACGGUACCAGAUGAAUAAGCACCGGCUAACUCCGUGCCAGCAGCCGCAGUAAAAC
rnacentral:rRNA from 1 species